rnacentral:lncRNA from 1 species
GUGAGUAACUGUGUGGGAGGCAAUUCAGGGCUGAGGACGAUGCCUCCGGUCUCUCAAUUGUCCUGUUGCUCAGAUGACGUUGAGACUCAUAGCCACAACACACACCUUGUCCAGAUUGUUCAUCCACUGAGACCCCUCAACCACAGAACUAGCCUUGGGCCUCCCCCCCGGUUUGCCCUCUUGGUGACACUCACAGUGAGGAGUGUGGCCUUUCUUGGGCCAUCUACUCUUCUCUCCUGGCACUGUCCUGUGCCCCAGAGAGACUGGUGACGAUUUCUCCGAAGACAGGAUUUAUCCAGACCCCUGAAAUGUUUGUGCUGCAUCUGCACGGACACCUUUAAACAGGAAUACAGUGGCACGGGGAUGCUUCCUCAGCAGACUCCAUCAGCCACAGGAUUGCCCAGGCUUUCCAAUCCACCUUCCUCAGCCUCCCAGAGUGUUGGGAUUCCUUGUCAAUGUGCCUGGCCUCCACAAAACGUGUGUACGAGUGACACUGUCACGGGAGCAGUGCAGACGAGCACACCACGCAGAGGCAUAGAGAGGAGGCCACAGUCUGGUGGGACAGGAAGCCAACCACACAGCCCCAGCCUGGAAAUGAUGCCACCCAAAGUCUGUAGGGAACAGUGAGGAGAGCUGCUCUGACAUGACGCUGUGGCCCUGGGGGAGGCAGCAUCUUAGCUUGGUUUGGAGCGUGGAUCUGAGUCCGGGUAGAGGUUGGGGAAUAUUCCAGAGAGCAAAGAGAAAGCAGCUUGAAUCAAUCGCAGAGGAGGCAGCACAUGGGGGAAGCAGCAAGCUCUUCAGUUUUAGCUUGCAAGUCAUUUUGAGGAAGAGAAAUGUGAAAGAAUAUCUACAUGGAGGCAGGAAAAAAGUUACAGACAAAAGCCGAGUGCUUAUGCACCUGUAACUCCAGCUCUCAGGAGACUGAGGCAGGAGGAUUGCAAGUUCAGGCCAGAGUGGGCUACUCUGAGAUCCUGUUGCAAAACACAAAACAAGACAAAUCAACGUAAACAAAAACCAGAACAAGACAAAAGUUGAAGACAAGAUCACUUUGGAGGCUCAGUUUAAAGUGACUCUUGUUAAGAAAAUAAUGAAAGAAGAUGGUAUAAAGCAUUCUGCCAGGGUAAGGGUUGGGAACGGAAAUAAAGCUCUCACAUGGGCAGCACCUUGUAUUUGAAAUCGGUGUAAGGAUGAAGAAGACAAUGCUGAGCUGGCUCCCUGGCAGUUACUUACUUACUUUGCAGCCCUGGAGAUUGAACCCAGCG